GAAUUUUUCACAAUGGGGGAAACCCUGAUGGAGCGACGCCGCGUGGAGGAUGAAGGCCUUCGGGUUGUAAACUCCUGUCAUGCGGGAACAAGCAAGUGAUAGUACCGCAAGAGGAAGAGACGGCUAACUCUGUGCCAGCAGCCGCGGUAAUACAGAGGUCUCAAGCGUUGUUCGGAUUCAUUGGGCGUAAAGGGUGCGUAGGUGGUGGCGCAAGUCUGGUGUGAAAUCUCGGAGCUCAACUCCGAAAUUGCACCGGAUACUGCGUUACUCGAGGACUGUAGAGGAGAUCGGAAUUCACGGUGUAGCAGUGAAAUGCGUAGAUAUCGUGAGGAAGACCAGUUGCGAAGGCGGAUCUCUGGGCAGUUCCUGACACUGAGGCACGAAGGCCAGGGGAGCAAAC
rnacentral:rRNA from 1 species